UUGUCUGUUAUUACCAAGAACCUGUCAGAAGCAAUUUGCUGCUUUGUCAACAGAACAACAACCAUAGAACUAACUUAACUAUCCCCAAACUUUUCUGUAUUACAAAGUUUAAUACUUUGUAUUAAAAAAAGUCUUAGUACAGUUUCUGAGUUACUGAUAAAAGUGAAGUUUAUUGGCUACUUAUUCCUGCCUAGGACAACUACGGGGGGACAACUGAUAUUUCUCAGUAAAUGAAACAAGUUAAAUUUGUAUUUAUUUUUUAAGGGAAAUAUGUUUCUCUGGAACACCGAGGUUGAUCAAGAUCUCUCAACCUUUUUGACAGUAUUGAGCAGAAGAUUUCUGUUCAGGAAAGAGAGGAAAAGAAGAGAGCUUGCAGAAGAAGUCCAUCACUUCGCCAGGGUGGAAGAGCAGAAAUGUAUUCUGCUUCCUGUUGCACAGGAGAGCAAACAUUUGUUUGCCAAGACUUUUUAAGUGUUUAAGGGUCAGUUGGAUUUUGAUCAGAAACAAAACAGUAGAGGUGGUACACACAAUAGACUGCAAUCAGAAGGGCUCACUGCCCACAUCUGGGUUACCUCCAUCUUCUUUCUGUUAGCCUAUUCUCUACUCCUAUCUGUUUCUGGAUCCUUCAGUUGCUCCAAAACAGUUAAAAACAAACCAUAUGUAAUAUAAUGACACAUGUAAUCUGUCAGGUCAGCCCUAAGACAUUUUUGCUGUUUAACUUUCCCAGAGCCAUAAAAACCCUUCCAAUUUAUUGGAUCAUGCCAACUUCACCCAAAGUAUUCUUGGCUGUUACUAAAAAUUUGUAUCUGUCCAUCUUUUUUUUUCUUUUCUUUUUUUCUUUUUUUUUUUUCCUGGGUCUCUUUUGACUGUAAUCUAUCCAGAUGGCCAGAUUGUGUCUGACCUUGUUCUAGCUGCUGGAGCAAAUCAAUACACUGUUAUCCUCUCCCUAAACCACUGAACUGUAAACACCUUCCGUGUUCCUCCUUACUGUUAUUUGAUACCUGCAAGACCACUAUACUUGUGAGACCAUAAACAGCCCACUGCCCAGUUGAUGUAAUGCCUUCCAGCUUAAGAACUUCUAUCCUAGGAACUAGGUCUGUGAACAGGGAAUAGUAUUCUUGGAGUGACAGAUGACUUUUUUGAAGUACUUGUGAGUACCUAAGAACCAGAGACAUCCUGAAUGUACCAUCCAAAAUUUUCUGACUCAGGUGGUUAGAAGGGAUCUCAUGAGUUGAUCUUGUCCACUUACCUGCUAUAAGAAUGUCCACUUACAAUGGAUUGCUCAGGACCUUGUCUGGUUAAGUAAUUAACAUCUUCAGGA
rnacentral:lncRNA from 7 species